UACAGAGGGUGCUAGCGUUGUUCGGAAUCAUUGGGCGUAAAGAGCGUGUAGGCGGCCAUACAGGUCAGCUGUGAAAACUCGAGGCUCAACCUCGAGACGUCGGUUGAAACCGUAUGGCUAGAGUCCGGAAGAGGGAGUGGAAUUCCCGGUGUAGCGGUGAAAUGCGCAGAUAUCGGGAAGAACACCCAUGGCGAAGGCAGCUCUCUGGGACGGUACUGACGCUGAGACGCGAAAGCGUGGGGAGCGAACAGG
rnacentral:rRNA from 1 species